rnacentral:lncRNA from 1 species
UGGACAAUGAAAUACAUCAACAAAUAAAUAUGUGAUGUGGCAGCUGGUGGUAACUACUAAGAUGAAAAAUAAAGUAGGGUGAGAGGAAGAGGAGAGUGAGGGGUCAGCGGGUUUAUAUAGUCUGGUGAUUCAUUCAUUUAUUCAUGUUACCUUGGGCAGCUAGUUACGGAGAGCUUUCUGUGUGCCUGGCCCUGUGCCAGGCUCCAUAAAGAAGCCAUUCUCCCCUGGAUCUCCUGUCCAACAGAGGAGACAGAAUCCAUCAAAUAAUCUCCAGAAAUGAAUAUAGAACCAAAGGAGUUACCUGAAGAGAUGGGCAAGUCUUCCCUAAGGAUGCUAUAGUUGGGGCGCAUGUUUACUAUUUAUCCUUUUCAACACAAAUUUACUGCAUGAAAGAUAGCCUGGGAAUUCCAAGAUGUGAUGGAAAAGGAGCAAGUCAGCAAAAGGAGGAAAUCAAAGCUACAGAGAUCAAGAGCUAAUGAACUGAUUCUCCUUCAGCACCCACUACCCCAACCCCACAUUUCAGGCAAAGACUUUCCAACCACUGGCCCAGUAGAAGCUGCUUCUCAAAGAUGCCCCCCCAUGAACCUGCCUCUCUAGGCACACCUUGCCUGGCUCCAGUCCACACGGACUCUGGGCUUGGCCUGUGACUCGUAUUUGCCAGCAGAAUAUGACAGAAGGGAUGCCGUUUCCAAACACAAGCCCUAAAGGUCUGACAGCAUGCACUUUGGUGCUUUUGAGAACUCUGAGCCAUAAGCAGGCAGCCCCGAUUCCCCGCUGGAGAGGCGCCGUGGAGAGUGAGAAGCCCUGAGCCUACCUGAGAAGGGAGCAGCUCAGCCCUCCCAACACCUCAGCGGAGCACAGCCUGGCAGCGGUCCCUGCCAAGUCACCAUGUCACAGCCCCACCCGCCAUCUGACUGCAGUUACUUGUGAGACCCCAAGUGAGACCAGCAGAACCACCCGCUAAGCCCCAGCCAACCCAUAAAUCCAUGAGAAAUAAUAAAACAAUCUCAUUUAUUUAUUUAAU